rnacentral:lncRNA from 1 species
UAUUUUUGGUGAACACUUUAGCUGCCUACUCAUCUAGUACUUUUAAUAGCAACAUCCUCUCCUUUUAAAAAUGGAUGAUGAAUUCUUGCUACAAUUUAGAUUCUCCUUGAGCGAUUCUGAAUAUGUCAACUUUCCUAGAUUGGGCUUUCCUCACCUUGUCAUGAGCUUUACUAAAGAAAUCUACAAGAAUUUUAAAAGAAUCAAUUGAGUGCUUAGGUAAAAGUGAUUACCCUAUUAGAGCACCCUUUGGUAGGGUUUCACUGAAUUUCUUUAGCAGGACAGAUUUGAUCUCAUGCGUUGCAAGAUCAUUCCCCCUUAACAGUCAUAGUGUAAGCUGUUAAAGUACUCUUGUAGAUCCAAAGUUCCGUCGUACUUUGAAAUAUCGAGCAUCUUGGAUAUCCUUAGGAUUAAUUCUGGGGCCGUACGUUGUUUGCAUGCCUACUACAUAUAUUUUUUGAAUACGACCCCUUUAAUACCGGUGCUACUCCUGGGAUUUGAUCCAUCUAGGCAAGGAAUUCUUUAGUACUUUGAUCCAUAUUAUCAUUUAUUUCCCCCAUAAAUCUCAUGAGUUCAGUUUUAAAAGGAUCAGUAGCAUUGUCGGUUUCAGAUCCACUACAUGCACCACUUGCUCCAUUUUUAUUUAAUCAGAAUUCCUCCUUCGAAGAAAUGUUUCCAGUUCUUUGCAUUGUUUUAUUUGUAGGAACACCGUGAGGGACUCAAACUCAUCCAUCGGAGUUAUUGGAAGCAGCCGUAAGUCCUACUUCAACUCAAUCAUUGCUCGAUCUUGUCUUGAGAGAUGCUUCAUAAUUUCCCUUUGUUGCACUCUCAAAACUUUGACUGUUUCAAAAACACGUUUAUCAUCCAUUUCAUCAGAAGUUGGACUUCUCACACGCCAAGAAUUUUGUUCUUCGGAACCAGAGUUGUUUCAUCUCCUUUGUUGUGAGUUUAACUAGUUGAAUCAUUAUACUGGAACACAUCCUCACGCUUGUUGUUUUUUUCUACAUUGAAAGCAUAGUUCCCAUUAUUAGCUGCCAUAUCUGAUUUUUCUUUGAGUUAAAAAGUAUCAAAAUACGUUAGUAACAGAUAAAUGGAUCAAAGUAAUAACCCAAUUGUCUAUGCUCCAAGGUGAACACCAAAUUAUUUACUCGUAAAACUAUAUAGUUAAAUUUGUAAUGUGGUUCAUAAACAUGUGAAUUAUUUUUAUCAAAGAAUAUAAAAUAGCUAAGAAUACAAAUAAAUUAGUUAAACGAACUUGAAGAAAGUACAAGCCUCACCGUUGGCUCAACUUCUUUGGUAGCAAUAAUAAUAGCAAUAUGAAGAAUAAAAAGAGAGAAAGUUGUUUAAUAGAAUAAAAGAAGAUUUUGGCUUUUUUGUACAGAUGAUUUAUUGUUCACAAUAAAAACAAAUCUCCUAUAUAUAGCUCAAUUCAAGGAGACAAGAUCCCCAAAUCAAGCUCUUCUUUAAUAUGAAUAUAACCCCCCUUUAAUGGAUGUGCAACGAUUGUGCAUUAAUGCGCAAAUUCUUUAUUAUGUCUGCUUAUUGAAUAUUGUCUUUUUCAAACGAUAUCUUCCUUUUGAAUCUUUGCCCUCGGUUUAAACGCCUUCGGAAAUUAUUUAGUACGAGUCACAUGUUCGUAAGUGGUCAGCUAUUUGUUGGCUCUUAUCUUACUUAUCUUUACUUCGACGUGUUAACUAUCGAGCAUCCACCUGUUGUUCAUCAAUUCUACUCUAUACAUAAUCUAUGAAUAAUUUGUGCUUCAAUGUCAUCACUUACACUAUCAUCCAUUAAAUAAACAUUCUUUUUUAUCCUUUUUUUCUUUUGGGAGCAACACACGAAAAGAGUGUCUUUUUUUAAUAGUUCAAAGCAGUAGAAAAGGACUUGAAUGGGUGACUUGGUUCGUUGGCAAUAGAGUAAAUAAUACAAUAACAACAACAACUACCCAGUAUAUUCCCACCAGGUGGGGUCUGGGGAGGGUAAUAUGU